UGUGUUACCUUAACCUCAUUGGUUGAUAUCUUUGGCGGAAGUACAUGGGAUACAUCCUCAUUCUUUCAAUAUCCAAGCUGUGGGAUGGUCGUGCUCCACGUGUUGUCGGCAAAUUUUCAGAUCAUGGGUGUUACUGACAAGCUGAUGUCUGAAGGAGAAGCAAUAUGACAUUCUACGAUAAUUCAUGUCAAUGAGGAUCAUCCUUAAAGGACAGGAUUUUUCUGAUCAGAAUCUGUUUUAGCAGAGUUGAGAAGAAUCAAGUGGAAAUACAAUUGUCAAUGUUCCUGAUUGGGAAGGAAAGAGUGAGUUUGAUCCAACAACAGUAAAGUAAGCGACAAGCCAGCAUAGUUGACACUUGAAGGUGAAGUCCCUUUGCUUACAACAAGCUUUCAUCAUGCUGAAGAUGUGAUACAAAUGAUGUUCAUUUUGAUAUGAGUUCAUUGCCUUAACGAGACUUCAUAAAUUUGUAUGUGGUCGAAUUCAUGAGAACUUAUUGAAUUGUGAAACUAUUUAUAAAGAAAUGUGUA